rnacentral:rRNA from 1 species
GGGCUAAUCACGGUUGGACAUCGUGAGGUUAGUGCAAUGGCAUAAGCCCGCUUGACUGCGAGAAUGACAAUUCGAGCAGGUGCGAAAGCAGGUCAUAGUGAUCCGGUGGUUCUGAAUGGAAGGGCCAUCGCUCAACGGAUAAAAGGUACUCCGGGGAUAACAGGCUGAUACCGCCCAAGAGUUCAUAUCGACGGCGGUGUUUGGCACCUCGAUGUCGGCUCAUCACAUCCUGGGGCUGAAGUCGGUCCCAAGGGUAUGGCUGUUCGCCAUUUAAAGUGGUACGCGAGCUGGGUUUAGAACGUCGUGAGACAGUUCGGUCCCUAUCUGCCGUGGGCGUUGGAAGAUUGAAGGGGGCUGCUCCUAGUACGAGAGGACCGGAGUGGACGAACCUCUGGUGUUCGGGUUGUGUCGCCAGACGCAUUGCCCGGUAGCUAAGUUCGGAAUCGAUAACCGCUGAAAGCAUCUAAGCGGGAAGCGAGCCCUGAGAUGAGUCUUCCCUGAUACUUUAAGUAUCCUAAAGGGUUGUCGGAGACUACGACGUUGAUAGGUCAGGUGUGUAAGUGCUGUGAGGCAUUGAGCUAACUGAUACUAAUUGCCCGU